AUAUGAUUCUUGGGGUUUACAUUUGAAUAAAGUCUCUAUUGAAGAAACAGCGGGAAUCACUCGCGAACGGGUAUAUAAACCCGGACGGUCGUCCUCAGAGCAUAUUACUUCUGAGUAAGCAACCACGGAAGCAUCUGCUACCAAGUUUUUAAAAUCUUUUUAAACUUAAAGUUAUAAAACCAAAACUCAAAGAUGGACAAGAAAGCCCAAGAUCACCGCAGCAACCAGUGUAACCCUAAACAUCAACCAUCUGGACCAGGGCACGAUGCAGGAUACCAUGGUACUGGAACCAAAGCUGAUCUGGACAAUCAUUCUGAACAGCUUGAUCCCAAGAAUCCAAAAUCCGGUGGAAAAAAAUGAACGAAAAAAUCAUCUUCUUAAAAAUACAAAGUGUGAAAUUUAUAUUUUUUCAAACAAUGUUUCUUUAAACGGCAUUUUGUAUUAAAAUAAAGAUCACUAUCUAAAUUUA